rnacentral:lncRNA from 1 species
GGGAGACAGUGUGUUCCUUGGCAAUGCAGACCCGCUCACUUCGCACCGGUCUUGCUUUAGGAGACCGCGGCCCAGACGGUUGUGUCAGCGGGACGACAUCCAGCCGAGCCGCUGCUUUUCUUCCCACGUUGAAAGAAUUGUUGUGACAAUUUGCUGUCCCUUGCAGUUCCGAAGAAUGUCCAUAUCUACUUGUCAACUCCUACAAAGAAG